rnacentral:rRNA from 1 species
GACGAACGCUGGCGGCGUGCUUAACACAUGCAAGUCGAACGUGAUUUUUGUGGAAAGCUCUUCGGGGACGGAAGCGAAAUGAAAGUGGCGAACGGGUGAGUAACACGUGAGCAACCUACCUUACACAGGGGGAUAGCCGUUGGAAACGACGAUUAAUACCGCAUGAGACCACAAAGCCACAUGGCUUAGGGGUAAAAGAUUUAUCGGUGUAAGAUGGGCUCGCGUCUGAUUAGCUAGUUGGAAGGGUAAAGGCCUACCAAGGCAACGAUCAGUAGCCGGUCUGAGAGGAUGAACGGCCACAUUGGAACUGAGACACGGUCCAAACUCCUACGGGAGGCAGCAGUGGGGAAUAUUGCACAAUGGGGGGAACCCUGAUGCAGCGACGCCGCGUGAGCGAAGAAGGUUUUCGAAUCGUAAAGCUCUGUCCUAUGAGAAGAUAAUGACG